rnacentral:rRNA from 1 species
UACAGAGGGUGCAAGCGUUGUUCGGAUUUACUGGGCGUAAAGGGCGUGUAGGCGGAUGCGCAAGCCGGUGGUGAAAUACCCGGGCUCAACCCUGGUGGGUCUGCCGGAACUGCGCGUCUAGAGAGGGCGAGAGGCAGGUGGAAUUCCUGGUGUAGAGGUGAAAUUCGUAGAGAUCAGGAGGAACACCGGCGGCGAAGGCGGCCUGCUGGAGCCACUCUGACGCUGAGGCGCGAAAGCGUGGGUAGCAAACAGG